AAGUCGAAAGUUUUAAACACGUCAAGUUGCAAACUUGAAAGGGCAAACCUUGCUCGAGUUA
rnacentral:tRNA from 1 species